rnacentral:rRNA from 1 species
AUGAACGCUGGCGGCGUGCCUAAUACAUGCAAGUCGAGCGAACAGAUCAGGAGCUUGCUCCUUUGACGUUAGCGGCGGACGGGUGAGUAACACGUGGAUAACCUACCUAUAAGACUGGGAUAACUUCGGGAAACCGGAGCUAAUACCGGAUAACAUAUUGAACCGCAUGGUUCAAUAGUGAAAGGCGGCUUUGCUGUCACUUAUAGAUGGAUCCGCGCCGUAUUAGCUAGUUGGUAAGGUAACGGCUUACCAAGGCAACGAUACGUAGCCGACCUGAGAGGGUGAUCGGCCACACUGGAACUGAGACACGGUCCAGACUCCUACGGGAGGCAGCAGUAGGGAAUCUUCCGCAAUGGGCGAAAGCCUGACGGAGCAACGCCGCGUGAGUGAUGAAGGUCUUCGGAUCGUAAAACUCUGUUAUCAGGGAAGAACAAAUGUGUAAGUAACUGUGCACAUCUUGACGGUACCUGAUCAGAAAGCCACGGCUAACUACGUG